UACGUAGGGGGCAAGCGUUGUCCGGAAUUAUUGGGCGUAAAGGGCGCGUAGGCGGAUAGUUAAGUCCGGUGUGAAAGAUCAGGGCUCAACCCUGAGAGUGCAUCGGAAACUGGUUAUCUUGAGGACAGGAGAGGAAAGUGGAAUUCCACGUGUAGCGGUGAAAUGCGUAGAUAUGUGGAGGAACACCAGUGGCGAAGGCGACUUUCUGGACUGUAACUGACGCUGAGGCGCGAAAGCGUGGGGAGCAAAC
rnacentral:rRNA from 1 species